UACAGAGGGUGCGAGCGUUGUCCGGAAUCACUGGGCGUAAAGGGCGCGUAGGUGGUGGCUUAAGCGUGCGGUGAAAGCUCGGGGCUCAACUCCGAGUCGGCCGUGCGAACUGGGCUCACUGGAGCAUAGUAGAGGCAGGUGGAAUUCCGGGUGUAGCGGUGGAAUGCGUAGAGAUCCGGAAGAACACCGGUGGCGAAGGCGGCCAACUGGACCAUUACUGACGCUGAGGCGCGAAAGCGUGGGGAGCAAACAGG
rnacentral:rRNA from 1 species